AUAUUGACGAUGACAGGGACAGUACAGUUUCCAUGCCUUGUUUCAGCGAACCGGGGGAGGUGGGAGCCCGGUAUAAGCGGAAAUUGGAAGAUCACCCUUGAGUUCCGAAUCGAACGCGCUGCCAGUAGAUUCAGGCGUUUCAUUCACGUUACGAAUGUCUGAGCGGACAGAAUUUUUCUUGUUCUGUCUACAAGGGUGGUACCGCGGGAAAACCUUCUCGUCCCUUAU
rnacentral:ncRNA from 1 species